UUCUGUCUAAACUGUUAAGUUCUAAUUUUCUGGCCCAUUUGAUCGUUCUGGUUAUUAACUCUUCCCUUUCCUGUUACCAGCCACUCGUUCCUGUUACUGGUCCAGUUAUUUUUUUAGCUUUGUGCACUUACAUUUCAUCUGUUAUUAUUUAUAUUUUUAGUUUGGAUAAUUGCAUUCAGGCAUCCACAAUAUAUGUUAUAAUUCAGCACUAUAGGAUAAUAUACCCAAUAAAGCUAGCACAAUAAUGUAUGUUCAACUUGUUCUUUUGCAACUGAUCUCUUUCCAGCAUGUCCAGGCCUUAAUUAUCUGAAAUAUGUUCCUUUUUUCGUCAAACCAAUGUAGCUUGUUUCAUGGGAAGAAGGUGGUUACAAGAUUUCUGAUUAUCCGAUGCCGAGAGGAGAGGAUUCCGGCUCCCAUCAAGUGACUCCUUCCCCUCACGUUGACUUUGCGGACAGAUGUCUCAAUUCUAGUGGUGGAGCUACGAACAACAA